UCGAGAAUCUUCCGCAAUGGACGAAAGUCUGACGGAGCGACGCCGCGUGAUUGAUGAAGCUCUUCGGAGUGUAAAGAUCUUUUAUGAGGGAAGAAGUUUAUUGACGGUACCUCAUGAAUAAGGGGCUCCUAAUCUCGUGCCAGCAGGAGCGGUAAUACGAGAGCCCCGAGCGUUAUCCGGAAUUAUUGGGCGUAAAGGGUGCGUAGGUGGUUGUGUUACUCGUUUGUUAAAUCUCUGGGCUUGACUCAGAAUCGGCAAACGAAACGGCACAACUUGAGAGUGUGAGGGGUAUAGGGAACUCAUGGUGUAGGGGUGAAAUCCGUUGAUAUCAUGGGGAACACCGAAAGCGAAGGCACUAUACUGGCACAUAUCUGACACUGAAGCACGAAAGCAUGGGUAGCGAAUGGG
rnacentral:rRNA from 1 species